AAAAAAAUAAUCUUAAAAUUUGAAGAUAGUGUAAGGAGCCUCUGAGACAACUUCACACAUACCAAUAUUCACAUUAUGGGAGUAACAGAA